rnacentral:rRNA from 1 species
UACAGAGGUCUCAAGCGUUGUUCGGAUUCAUUGGGCGUAAAGGGUGCGUAGGCGGCGCGGUAAGUCGGGUGUGAAAUCUCGGAGCUUAACUCCGAAACUGCGAUUCGAUACUGCCGGUGCUUGAGGACUGGAGAGGAGACUGGAAUUUACGGUGUAGCGGUGAAAUGCGUAGAUAUCGUAAGGAAGACCAGUGGCGAAGGCGGGU